rnacentral:misc_RNA from 1 species
GAUGAAGAACGUAGCGAAAUGCGAUAAGUAAUGUGAAUUGCAGAAUUCAGUGAAUCAUCGAAUCUUUGAACGCACAUUGCGCCCAUUAGCAUUUUAGUGGGCAUGCCUGUUCGAGCGUCAUUUCAACCCUUAAGCCCUGUUGCUUAGCGUUGGGAGCCUACAGUACUGUAGCUCCCCAAAGUUAGUGGCGGAGUCGGUUUCACACUCUAGACGUAGUAAUUUUUUCUCGUCUGUAGUUGAGCCGGUCCCCUGCCGUAAAACACCCAAUUUAUCAAGGUUGACCUCGGAUCAGGUAGGAAUACCCGCUGAACUUAAGCAUAUCAAUAAGCGGAGGA